rnacentral:rRNA from 1 species
CAGUAGCCGCGGUAAAACGGAGGGUGCAAGCGUUACUCGGAAUCACUGGGCGUAAAGGACGCGUAGGCGGAUUAUCAGGUCUCUUGUGAAAUCUAACGGCUUAACCGUUAAACUGCUUGGGAAACUGAUAAUCUAGAGUAAGGGAGAGGCAGAUGGAAUUCUUGGUGUAGGGGUAAAAUCCGUAGAGAUCAAGAAGAAUACCCAUUGCGAAAGCGAUCUGCUGGAACUUAACUGACGCUAAUGCGUGAAAGCGUGGGGAGCAAACAGGAUUAGAUACCCGCGUAGUCCCUGUCUCUUAUAC